rnacentral:lncRNA from 1 species
AAAAACUUUGCGACCGAUUGGGCGUCUUUUCGUUUCGUUGGACAUGCUUCGACCCACUGGGAGAACCUGUCCACAACAGCCAACAUGUAUCUUUUACCUUCCACUGGUCUAAUCAUGACAACAAAGUCAAUGACUAGUUCACGCAUGGGACCUGUGGGCGUUGGAACAUAGCCCAGAGGAACUGUCACCCUACGGCGAACAUUGGGCCAGAUUCACGAAGCGUUCUUACGAACAAAUUUGUUCUUAAGUCCCACUUACGAACAGUUGACGAAGAUUGUGGCAUUCACCAAUUUCUUCUUAUCCUGGAUUUAUUCGUAGGGGAUCGAGGAUAUGCCCUGGUUGUUGACACCACUGACCAACCCUCAGACUCCACAGGAGUUUUAUUCAAUCAGAUGCAUGCGCGCAGUCGCUCCACCAUUGAACGCACCAUCGGCAUGUUAAAGGGGCGCUGGAUGUGUUUGGACACAGAGCCAAAACCCCGUGAGGAUGUGCGUCCUGACGCAAUGAUGGGGCCAGACUGCAGGCACGCGGUUCACGUUCGAGCGCGAUUAAUUGCCCGUUUGUGAAUAAAAUGCAUUAUUGUCACAAUCCGAGCACAGCUUUUACACGUUUAUUUUUUUUACAUUCUUCUUUUUUUUACAUUCUCGUUGAUUUCUUUAAGAAAAUCAACGAGAAAUUAUCUGGUCCUACUUUCCUUUUGCUCUUCACUCAAGAUCAAAGGUAGGUUUUAACAAAUAGAAACGGAUCUCACAAAUAUAGCUACACAAGAGUGUGUAUUUGUGUCUUACAUUAUUGACCAUCAAGUGCAUGAUGGUCUUGGGGAUCAGGUCUCUGACAGUGCGGUGAAUGAUGGACAGGUAUGAAUCCACCAGGUUCCUAACAAUCUCCAGCUGAGGGUCCAGACUGUGGAUGUGACCAUCUCCACUGGCCUCCUCAACCACCUCCUACACACCGGUUCACUUUAAUCAGAAUACACAUACAGGGGAUAGAUAUGCCCUGGCUCCCUGGUUGUUGACACCACUGACCAACCCUUAGACUCCACAGGAAAUGUUAUUCAAUCAGAUGCAUGCGCGCAGUCGCUCCACCAUUGAACGCACCAUCGGCAUUUUAAAGGGGCGCUGGAUGUGCUUGGACACAGAGCCACAACCCCAUGAGGAUGUGCGUCCUGACGCAAUGAUGGGGCCAGACUGCAGGCACGCGGUUCACGUUCGAGCGCGAUUAAUUGCCCGUUUGUGAAUAAAUGCAUUAUUGUCACAAUUUCAGUCUAACAGUCUUGAUUCACUUCAAAAAGAAAAAAUAAGAGACCAGUUUCAGAGCUUUUACACGUUUUUUUUUUUUUUUUUACAUUCUCGUUGAUUUCUUUAAGCGUGUUGGCUAUAGUCAUCAGGGUUGAGGCAAUUUUAUCAAGCGUGUUAGCCAUCCUUUCUUGAUUGUUCAACACGGCGUCAGAAGUCAGGCGUGGAGAGGCAAGCUUUGGGCAUUGU